UCACUUUUCUGAUUUUAGAAACACAAGAAAUAAGAAGACCAUUUUGAGAAGAACAGAGAGUAGCCUUAAGAAAAUCCCUGUCGCAAGCACUCUGGGAUUUGGACUCAAAUGCUAAUUAUACAGUCUAUAAUGAUGACUGGAAUAGGAAAUUCGGACAGCAAAAGUGGUCGCUUCUUAGGCUUCCUGCCAGAUUUUGAAAACCACUAUAACUAGUCGUUUCUGCCAA
rnacentral:lncRNA from 1 species